rnacentral:ncRNA from 1 species
GCACGCCUGUCGGGACCCGAAAGAUGGUGAACUAUGCCUGAGCGGGGCGAAGCCAGAGGAAACUCUGGUGGAGGCUCGAAGCGAUACUGACGUGCAAAUCGUUCGUCUGACUUGGCGAUAGGGGCGAAAGACUAAUCGAACCAUCUAGUAGCUGGUUCCCUCCGAAGUUUCCCUCAGGAUAGCUGGAGCCCAUUACGAGUUCUAUCAGGUAAAGCCAAUGAUUAGAGGCAUUGGGGACGCAACGUCCUCGACCUAUUCUCA